ACGAACGCUGGCGGCGUGCUUCACACAUGCAAGUCGCACGGAAAGGCCCUGCUUUUGUGGGGUGCUCGAGUGGCGAACGGGUGAGUAACACGUGAGUAACCUGCCCUUGACUUUGGGAUAACUUCAGGAAACUGGGGCUAAUACCGGAUAGGAGCUCCUGCUGCAUGGUGGGGGUUGGAAAGUUUCGGCGGUUGGGGAUGGACUCGCGGCUUAUCAGCUUGUUGGUGGGGUAGGGGCUUACCAAGGCUUUGACGGGUAGCCGGCCUGAGCGGGUGACCGGCCACAUUGGGACUGAGAUACGGCCCAGACUCCUACGGGAGGCAGCAGUGGGGAAUAUUGCACAAUGGGCUGAAGCCUGAUGCAGCAACGCCGCGUGCGGGAUGACGGCCUUCGGUUUGUAAACCGCUUUCGCCUGUGACGAAGCGUGAGUGACGGUAAUGGGUAAAGAAGCACCGGCUAACUACGUG
rnacentral:rRNA from 1 species